GACGCACGCUGGCGGCGUGCCUAAUACAUGCAAGUCGAACGCAGUGGGGACGGGUGAGUAACACGUGGGUAACCUCCCAUCAGAGGGGAUAACACUUGGAAACAGGUGCUAAACCGAUACUGAUGGAUGGACCGGCUGUGCAUGAGCUAGUUGGUGAGGUAACGGCUCACCAAGGCCACGAUGCAUAGCCGCCCUGAGAGGGGGUUCGGCCACACUGGGACUGAGACACGGCCCAUACUCCUACGGGAGGCAGCAGUAGGGAAUCUUCGGCAAUGGGCUAAAGUCUGACCGAGCAACGCCGCGUGAGUGAAGAAGGUUUUCGGAUCGUAAAACUCUGUUAUUAGGGAAGCGGUACCGAAUCAGAAAGCCACGGCUAACUACGUGCCAGCAGCCGCGGUAAUUC
rnacentral:rRNA from 1 species